AAUUGCACAUUAACAUGGCCAAGCUUGCAUCUUUCUUCUUAGUUUUCAUUGUUGUAAUCUCAGGUUUGUGUUCUCGAUCAGUAUAUGUUUAGCUUCCAAAAUUUUAUUUUAAAAUUAAAAUAUUUUUUUUGGAACGGUAUUAUUUUAAUUUUAAAAUACAUGAAGUUUAUUUGUAACUGGGAACAAGCAUUCGAUAAUAUUUUGUUAAUUGAUUGCAAACAUGUCCAAUCUCUUGCUGGAGAAUUUUUCAUACAAGGACUUCUAUUUUUAUUUAUUAAGAUAGCCAUAUAUGUAAUAUCUAUUACUUUAUGGUUCGUAUUAAAAUUUAACGUGUUUAUUUUAUUUUAUUUUUCAUUUUUCAGUUGGAGCUUCCACUGUGAAUGGACAGCAUAGAUGUACAGAGGUGUUGGAUCCAAAUGCUUGUACUCUUGGUGAUUGUCGUGAGCAAUGUUAUCAAAAACACAAGGGCAAUGGAAUUUGCGAGCUCUCAAGUGAUAUGAGCCAUUAUGGUUGUAUUUGUAUUUUCGACUGCUGAUGAAAUCUUAAGACAAUGAUAUUACUUUGGGGUUGAAAAGUAGUAACCCAAAGGAUCAUUAGUGCUCUAGAACAGAAAAACUACAAUUCCAUUAAAGAACGUUUUUGAAGUUUUGUAUCAUUCUAAAUACAUAAUCAAUGAAAUAUUCAUUUCAGAUUGUUAUCUAUAACGGAUUAGUAAAAAAUACUAACACAUUAUUUUCUUAUUCUAUGACUAUAUAACGGAUUAAAGAUUUCACUCAUCGAAACACUUUUAACUUUUGAUAAUGAAUGAACCUUCCAAAAAACUUUUGGGUUAACUACUACAUUUUACCAAUUCAAUCAAACAACUUAAUUUGAGACAUUUUUUCAAGGUUGUCAUUAAUAUUUACGACUAUGUGAUAUCAUGUAUAACCAUUUACACUCACCUACAGGGAUUUCUCGAUAGUAUUAUCUAAAUUAUUUGGAUUGUUCUUAAUUGAGUAUGAACUCCUAAGUUUUUGUUUGUGUUAAUAAAUGUCAUAUGUACGCACCUUUAUGCCAACCAUCAGAAAAUUAACUUUUUUUUGGUUAUUUGGAACCGUAGAGAAUUUAUUAAGGCCAAGCUUAGCAAGUCGCCAAGCAAGGCACCAACCAAAAGAGACAAUUUUGAGAGUACAGAGAUUAAGGGAAAAUACGACAUCAAAACAAAAUAUAAAUUACAAAAUGUACGCCGAUUUACACUUCUCUAAUGCAUAAUAUGUUUGGCAAUUGUGUGGAGAAGGAAGAUGUACCUUGCUAAAUUUCAUUCCUGAAGUUGGUAUCAUCACCGUUUCCUAGAAUCACAAAAAAUAAAGUUAUCUGGGACGAAUCCCAUCAUCUCAAGUUCCGAGUUUGCCUUUACAAUGUUGUUCCAUACGCCGUUUAAUGAUCUUUUUAACAGCAAUUUUAAUGGCUUUCUAUGUAGGUUGUGUAUGCUUGUAAUAAUGUUAUUCCCUGUAGAUUUUUUUAACAUCCUUUGGUCUCCAAAUUCAUUUGACUAAUAGUGCAAUGUUGAGUG
rnacentral:lncRNA from 1 species